AGUGAAGCGGCGAAAGCUCAAAUUUGAAAUCUAGGCACUCUUUCGGACGUUCGAGUUGUAAUUUGAAGAAGGCAACCUUGGGUUUGGUCCUUGUCUAUGUUCCUUGGAACAGGACGUCAUAGAGGGUGAGAAUCCCGUCUGGCGAGAUGCCCAUUCCUUUGUAAAGUGCUUUCGACGAGUCGAGUUGUUUGGGAAUGCAGCUCUAAGUGGGUGGUAAAUUCCAUCUAAAGCUAAAUAUUGGCGAGAGACCGAUAGCGAACAAGUACAGUGAUGGAAAGAUGAAAAGAACUUUGAAAAGAGAGUGAAAAAGUACGUGAAAUUGUUGAAAGGGAA
rnacentral:rRNA from 1 species